GCAGUAGAACGCUGAAGUCUGGUGCUUGCACUAGACGGAUGAGUUGCGAACGGGUGAGUAACGCGUAGGUAACCUGCCUCAUAGCGGGGGAUAACUAUUGGAAACGAUAGCUAAUACCGCAUAACAGUAUUUACCGCAUGGUAGAUGCUUGAAAGGAGCAACUGCUUCACUAUGAGAUGGACCUGCGUUGUAUUAGCUAGUUGGUGAGGUAACGGCUCACCAAGGCUUCGAUACAUAGCCGACCUGAGAAGGUGAUCGGCCACACUGGGACUGAGACACGGCCCAGACUCCUACGGGAGGCAGCAGUAGGGAAUCUUCGGCAAUGGGGGCAACCCUGACCGAGCAACGCCGCGUGAGUGAAGAAGGUUUUCGGAUCGUAAAGCUCUGUUGUAAGAGAAGAACUGUGAGAAGAGUGGAAAGUUUCUCACUUGACGGUAUCUUACCAGAAAGGGACGGCUAACUACGUGCCAGCAGCCGCGGUAAUACGUAGGUCCCGAGCGUUGUCCGGAUUUAUUGGGCGUAAAGCGAGCG
rnacentral:rRNA from 1 species